rnacentral:rRNA from 1 species
GACGUAGGGCGCGAGCGUUUGUCCGGAUUUAUUGGGCGUAAAGAGCUUGUAGGCGGUCUGUCGCGUCUGCUGUGAAAAUCCGGGGCUCAACCCCGGACUUGCAGUGGGUACGGGCAGACUAGAGUGUGGUAGGGGAGACUGGAAUUCCUGGUGUAGCGGUGAAAUGCGCAGAUAUCUGGAGGAACACCGGUGGCGAAGGCGGCAUCCUGGACCGGUAUUGACGCUGAGGGCGCGAAAGCCAGGGGAGCAAACGGG